CGAAGGCUCCAAAGGAAGCCACGGCUAACUCUGUGCCAGCAGCCGCGGUAAUACAGAGGUGGCAAGCGUUGUUCGGAAUUAUUGGGCGUAAAGAGCACGUAGGUGGAUUUGUAAGUCAGAUGUGAAAGCCUUCUGUUCAACGGAAGAAUUGCAUCUGAAACUACAGACCUUGAGUAUAGGAGGGGAGAAUGGAACUUCUGGUGGAGCGGUGAAAUGCGUAGAUAUCAGAAGGAACGCCGGCGGCGAAAGCGAUUCUCUGGCCUAUUACUGACACUCAGUGUGCGAAAGCUAGGGGAGCAAACGGGAUUAGAUACCCCGGUAGUCCUAGCCGUAAA
rnacentral:rRNA from 1 species